AGAUUUCAUGAGCAGUUGUAGGAAAAUGCAAGCCCUGUGCAUUUGCAAGUCAAAACGAGUGAAGGCAGCAGCUCGUGUGGCGAUCUCGGCUUCAUUUACCCGGCGAGGAUUUUUUGAUAAGAAACAUUUGUUAAGAUACAAAGAUGAAAGAAGAGCGAGGAAAAGACAGAGGUAUUUCACGGCUCUUCUAUACACACAUCUACGUCUGGUCGUGCGACACACACACAGACACACAUAGAGCCCUUCGCCGUGACUGCCGAUACUGCUGAGCUCUCUUCAAACAACCUUUGUAUAUAACUAUGUCUACUUUGACACAGUUCAUGUUUAUGUACCUCAUCUUACUCUUCAUAGGAGAUAAACACUCCCUUCAUGCUUUGAACAAAAUCUUAAUAAAUUCCACACAUUUUUCUCAUUUUAAACGUUAACCUUCAAUCAAAAGCAAAUUCAUCAUACAUCUGCAGCGAGCAGUCGACAAAGCAGAGCAGCACCCUACACGUAUUCACACAGCUCAAAUAAGUUAUUAACAGUGGCUACGCUAUGAUUCAACUCAAACAAUGAAUACCAUCACUCAGAGUCAGUCGCUCUCAGCCACUCCCUCUGGGGAUUUUUCCCAAUGCCCAGCAGGCAGCACUUUUAGUUUCCCUUAAGAUCUGCAAGGUCGGAUCCUUACCUUGGGCUGAGCUGCUUCACCCUUUUCAAACAUCAUCUUUAACUUGUUCAGCGGAACGCUGUACUUCUCUAUCUUCCCCGAAGACUCUGCGUUUUCACUGGCUUCAGGCUUUUCCACUUCUCUGGACUCUCUCAGAUAGUUUUCCAUUUUACCACUCUCCGGUGAGUGGCUUUGAGACUUUCUGCUGUCAACACCGGGACUCUGCAGCUGGCCAGGGGUGCCAGAAGAGGCCUGGGCGUGAGAUGCUGUGCCGGCUGCCGGGAUCUGCUCUGUGUCUGAGGAAAAAGCAAGGCUGCUUCCAACUCCCAGCUCGGGGCUCGCGACCCUGUGCCUAACCUCAGCACAGCUGCUCCGUAGCGUUUCCUUCCGAGGCUCCGUUCCCGGCACUGGAUUCUCCCACUUCUUCUUUAGUACGCUCAGAUUCCCUCUCUUAAAAUGAGGGGGAAGAUUUUCUGUGCUAUUUCUUUUUUUCUCAGCCGUGGCUUCUUCAGCUGCUUUCUGAUACCUGGAGAACCUCUCCGCAAGAGCUGAUGACUUAUUCUUGUUGACAAGAGAAAGCUCUUUUGCAGUGAUUUUCAAAGACUGAGAAGUCCAUUGUCUUCUAUUAAACGGGGAAGGCUCCAUCUUAUCACCACA
rnacentral:lncRNA from 1 species